rnacentral:rRNA from 1 species
UACAGAGGUCCCAAGCGGUGUUCGGAUUCACUGGGCGUAAAGGGUGCGUAGGUGGCAUGUUAAGUUUGAUGUGAAAGCUCAGGGCUCAACCCUGAAAUGGCAUUGAAUACUAGCGUGCUGGAGGUUUGGAGGGGGGACUGGAAUUCUUGGUGUAGCAGUGAAAUGCGUAGAUAUCAAGAGGAACACCAGUGGCGAAGGCGAGUCCCUGGACAACACCUGACACUGAGGCACGAAAGCCGGGGGAGCAAACAGG